UACGUAGGGGGCUAGCGUUGUCCGGAAUCAUUGGGCGUAAAGCGCGUGUAGGCGGUCCGGUAAGUCCGCUGUGAAAGUCGGGGGCUCAACCCUCGGAUGCCGGUGGAUACUGCCCGACUAGAGGUAGGUAGGAGAGAUCGGAAUUCCUGGUGUAGCGGUGAAAUGCGUAGAUAUCGAGAGGAACACCUGCGGCGAAGGCGGGUUGCUGGGCUGACACUGACGCUGAACUGCGAAAGCUAGGGGAGCGAACGGG
rnacentral:rRNA from 1 species